AUUGAACGCUGGCGGAAUGCUUUACACAUGCAAAUCGAACGGCAGCACGGGGGCAACCCUGGUGGCGAGUGGCGAACGGGUGAGUAAUACAUCGGAACGUGCCCAAUCGUGGGGGAUAACGCAGCGAAAGUUGUGCUAAUACCGCAUACGAUCUACGGAUGAAAGCGGGGGAUCGCAAGACCUCGCGCGAGUGGAGCGGCCGAUGGCAGAUUAGGUAGUUGGUGGGGUAAAGGCUCACCAAGCCAACGAUCUGUAGCUGGUCUGAGAGGACGACCAGCCACACUGGGACUGAGACACGGCCCAGACUCCUACGGGAGGCAGCAGUGGGGAAUUUUGGACAAUGGGCGAAAGCCUGAUCCAGCCAUUCCGCGUGCAGGAUGAAGGCCUUCGGGUUGUAAACUGCUUUUGUACGGAACGAAAAGGCUCUGGUUAAUACCUGGGGCUCAUGACGGUACCGUAAGAAUAAGCACCGGCUAACUAC
rnacentral:rRNA from 1 species